AGUGAACGCUGGCGGUAGGCCUAACACAUGCGAGUCGAACGGCAGCACAGUAAGAGCUUGCUCUUAUGGGUGGCGAGAGGCGGAAGGGUGAGGAAUAUAUCGGAAUCUACUUUUUCGUGGGGGAUAACGUAGGGAAAGUUACGCUCAUACCGCAUACGAUCUACGGGUGAAAGCAGGGGAUCUUCGGACCUUGCGCGAUUGAAUGAGCCGAUGUCGGAUUAGCUAGUUGGCGGGGUAAAGGCCCACCAAGGCGACGAUCCGUAGCUGGUCUGAGAGGAUGAUCAGCCACACUGGAACUGAGACACGGUCCAGACUCCUACGGGAGGCAGCAGUGGGGAAUAUUGGACAAUGGGCGCAAGCCUGAUCCAGCCAUACCGCGUGGGUGAAGAAGGCCUUCGGGUUGUAAAGCCCUUUUGUUGGGAAAGAAAAGCAUCAGGUUAAUACCCCGCUGUUCUGACGGUACCCAAAGAAUAAGCACCGGCUAACUUCGUG
rnacentral:rRNA from 1 species